rnacentral:sRNA from 1 species
ACUUUCUUUUGUGAUCUUUGCACACGGACUCUUACGGAAGACGGAAUAGAUCAUCUAGAUAAUAGCAUUG